rnacentral:rRNA from 1 species
CACGGGGGGAGCAAGCGUUGUUCGGAAUCACUGGGCGUAAAGGGCGUGUAGGCGGUCAGGUAGGUGAGAUGUGAAAUGCCCCGGCUCACCCGAGGACCGGCAUCUCAAACCGCUUGGCUUGAGUAUGGGAGAGGAUGAGGGAAUUCCUGGUGUAGCGGUGAAAUGCGUAGAUAUCAGGAGGAACACCGGUGGCGAAGGCGCUCAUCUGGCCCAAUACUGACGCUGAGGCGCGAAAGCUAGGGGAGCAAACGGG